GUGUUCGUAAAAAGGAGAGACGGUUGGCAUCUCCCCUGACAGGGACGGGAACGGUCUUCGGACUUUCCUCUAGCACACUGCGGUUAAGGCUACCCGCUUCGGCGGAUCUUACCCAAAUUUUUUU
rfam:Triticum aestivum genome assembly, contig: Triticum_aestivum_CS42_TGACv1_scaffold_544422_6DS